rnacentral:rRNA from 1 species
AUUGAACGCUGGCGGCAGGCUUAACACAUGCAAGUCGAGCGGGGUGAUGGUGCUUGCACUAUCACUUAGCGGCGGACGGGUGAGUAAUGCUUAGGAAUCUGCCUAUUAGUGGGGGACAACAUCUCGAAAGGGAUGCUAAUACCGCAUACGUCCUACGGGAGAAAGUAGGGGAUCACUUGUGACCUUGCGCUAAUAGAUGAGCCUAAGUCGGAUUAGCUAGUUGGUGGGGUAAAGGCCUACCAAGGCGACGAUCUGUAGCGUGUCUGAGAGGAGGAGCCGCCACACUGGGACUGAGACACGGCCCAGACUCCUACGGGAGGCAGCAGUGGGGAGUAUUGGACAAUGGGGGGAACCCUGAUCCAGCCAUGCCGCGUGUGUGAAGAAGGCCUUAUGGUUGUAAAGCACUUUAAGCGAGGAGGAGGCUCUUUUGGUUAAUACCCAAGAUGAGUGGACGUUACUCGCAGAAUAAGCACCGGCUAACUCUGUGCCAGCAGCCGCUGUAA